GACAGAGGGUGCAAACGUUGUUCGGAAUUACUGGGCGUAAAGCGAGUGUAGGCGGUCUGCUAAGUCGGAUGUGAAAGCCCCGGGCUCAACCCGGGAAGUGCACUCGAAACUGGCAGGCUAGAGUAUCGGAGAGGUUGGUGGAAUUCUCGGUGUAGAGGUGAAAUUCGUAGAUAUCGAGAGGAACACCGGUGGCGAAGGCGGCCAACUGGACGAAUACUGACGCUGAGACUCGAAAGCGUGGGGAGCAAACAGG
rnacentral:rRNA from 1 species